AAAUUGAAGAGUUUGAUCAUGGCUCAGAUUGAACGCUGGCGGCAGGCCUAACACAUGCAAGUCGAGCGGAAACGAGUUAUCAGAACCUUCGGGGGACGAUAACGGCGUCGAGCGGCGGACGGGUGAGUAAUGCCUAGGAAAUUGCCCUGAUGUGGGGGAUAACCAUUGGAAACGAUGGCUAAUACCGCAUGAUGCCUACGGGCCAAAGAGGGGGACCUUCGGGCCUCUCGCGUCAGGAUAUGCCUAGGUGGGAUUAGCUAGUUGGUGAGGUAAAGGCUCACCAAGGCGACGAUCCCUAGCUGGUCUGAGAGGAUGAUCAGCCACACUGGAACUGAGACACGGUCCAGACUCCUACGGGAGGCAGCAGUGGGGAAUAUUGCACAAUGGGCGCAAGCCUGAUGCAGCCAUGCCGCGUGUGUGAAGAAGGCCUUCGGGUUGUAAAGCACUUUCAGUCGUGAGGAAGGCGGUGUAGUUAAUAGCUGCAUC
rnacentral:rRNA from 1 species